rnacentral:rRNA from 1 species
AUUGAACGCUGGCGGCGGGCUUAACACAUGCAAGUCGAGCGGGGUGAUGGUGCUUGCACUAUCACUUAGCGGCGGACGGGUGAGUAAUGCUUAGGAAUCUGCCUGGUAGUGGGGGACAACGUUUCGAAAGGAACGCUAAUACCGCAUACGUCCUACGGGAGAAAGCAGGGGACCUUCGGGCCUUGCGCUAUCAGAUGAGCCUAGGUCGGAUUAGCUAGUUGGUGGGGUAAUGGCUCACCAAGGCGACGAUCCGUAACUGGUCUGAGAGGAUGAUCAGUCAAACUGGAACUGAGACACGGUCCAGACUCCUACGGGAGGCAGCAGUGGGGAAUAUUGGACAAUGGGCGAAAGCCUGAUCCAGCCAUGCCGCGUGUGUGAAGAAGGUCUUCGGAUUGUAAAGCACUUUAAGUUGGGAGGAAGGGCAGUAAGUUAAUACCUUGCUGUUUUGACGUUACCGACAGAAUAAGCACCGGCUAACUCUGUGCCAGCCGCCGCCGUAA